AGAGUUUGAUCAUGGCUCAGGAUGAACGCUAGCGGCAGGCUUAACACAUGCAAGUCGAGGGGCAGCAUAGAGGUUAGCAAUAACUUCUGAUGGCGACCGGCGCAAGGGUGCGUAACGCGUGAGCAACUUGCCCUUAUCAGGGGGAUAACCAAUGGAAACGCUGACUAAUACCCCAUAGCAUAACUUUGAGGCAUCUCUUAGUUAUUAAAGAAUUUCGGAUAAGGAUAGGCUCGCGUGACAUUAGCUAGAUGGCGGGGUAACGGCCCACCAUGGCGACGAUGUCUAGGGGUUCUGAGAGGAAGGUCCCCCACACUGGAACUGAGACACGGUCCAGACUCCUACGGGAGGCAGCAGUGAGGAAUAUUGGUCAAUGGUCUGACGACUGAACCAGCCAUGCCGCGUGAAGGUCACGGCCCUAUGGGUCUUAAACUUCUUUUGUAAGGGAGCAAUAAGGCGCACGUGUGCGUCGAUGAGAGUACCUUACGAAUAAGCAUCGGCUAACUCCGUGCCAGCAGCCGCGGUAAUAC
rnacentral:rRNA from 1 species